rnacentral:rRNA from 1 species
CCUACGGGAGGCUGCAGUGGGGAAUAUUGGACAAUGGGCGAAAGCCUGAUCCAGCCAUGCCGCGUGUGUGAAGAAGGCCUUCGGGUUGUAAAGCACUUUCAGUGGGGAAGAAAGCCUUGGGGCUAAUACCCUCGAGGAAGGACAUCACCCACAGAAGAAGCACCGGCUAACUCCGUGCCAGCAGCCGCGGUAAUACGGAGGGUGCGAGCGUUAAUCGGAAUUACUGGGCGUAAAGCGCGCGUAGGCGGUCUGAUAAGCCGGUUGUGAAAGCCCCGGGCUCAACCUGGGAACGGCAUCCGGAACUGUCAGGCUAGAGUGCAGGAGAGGAAGGUAGAAUUCCCGGUGUAGCGGUGAAAUGCGUAGAGAUCGGGAGGAAUACCAGUGGCGAAAGCGGCCUUCUGGACUGACACUGACGCUGAGGUGCGAAAGCGUGGGUAGCAAACAGGAUUAGAUACCCUAGUAGUC